rnacentral:misc_RNA from 2 species
AAUCUUCAACCUAUAAGCUUUUGUGGUUUGUAGGCUUGGACUUGGAGGCUUGUCGGCCUUGAUCGGUCGGCUCCUCUUAAAUGCAUUAGCUUGAUUCCUUGCGGAUCGGCUCUCGGUGUGAUAAUAUCUACGCCGCGACCGUGAAGCGUUUGGCGAGCUUCUAACCGUCUCACUUGAGAGACAACUUUAUGAC